UUCACCGCGUGCUUCAUGGAAACUAUAAAUAAAAGCGUUUCCCGAUCGUGUUAACAAAGCAAAUGAACAGACAACGACUUGUUAUUCACGUGCAUAUGUACGUCCACUGUGUCAAGUUAAAAUAAUAAUAUAGUUAUUAGUUGAUAUAAAGAUUUUCAUUUUUUCUUCGUCCUAUAAAAAUCAAAAUGGUUGUAGAAUAUACGUCACAGAUAUCUGAUAAAGUACAAUAUAACAGGAAAAGACAUUCUGAUAAUUGUCCUUCAGAAGACGUGAAAAAAAGGAAAGAAGAAUCCACGCCAUUAUCAGUGACAUCCUCAUCGACCGUUGACCACCAUAUUUGGGGUUCCGUUUUCCGGAGUCGACAAGAUUUUGUAGAUCUUCACGUGGCUUAAAUUACGUCAUGUGGUUUUAAUUACGUCAUCGUCAUGCUUGGACGGCAGCCUCUUUAUUUCAAUAGCCUUACAUCUGUACAUAUUCAGCAUCACGUGCAAUAGCUGGACUUUGUUUUGUUGUAGAUUUUGUAAGGGCCAUCAAUAUUGCCUAUUAAUAGAC